rnacentral:lncRNA from 1 species
AAAGUCCUUUGCACAUUGUGCCAGCGUCUACAAGGUGGGGCCCUGCAGGGGCCACGUGGCCAUGGGGCAGGGUCUGUCCCUCCAGCUGUGCCUCGGCCACCCCAGGACUGUACCUCAUACCACUCUCUGCCCACAGCACCAUUACAUGGACGGGCAGACCCCCUGCCUCUUUGUCUCCUCCAAGGCCGACCUGCCCGAAGGUGUCGCGGUGUCUGGCCCAUCACCGGCCGAGUUUUGCCGCAAGCACCGGCUACCCGCUCCCGUGCCGUUCUCCUGUGCUGGCCCAGCCGAGCCCAGCACCACCAUCUUCACCCAGCUCGCCACCAUGGCCGCCUUCCCACAUUUGGUCCACGCAGAGCUGCAUCCCUCUUCCUUCUGGCUCCGGGGGCUGCUGGGG